rnacentral:rRNA from 1 species
GAUGAACGCUGGCGGCGUGCCUAAUACAUGCAAGUCGAGCGAACAGACGAGGAGCUUGCUCCUCUGACGUUAGCGGCGGACGGGUGAGUAACACGUGGAUAACCUACCUAUAAGACUGGGAUAACUUCGGGAAACCGGAGCUAAUACCGGAUAAUAUAUUGAACCGCAUGGUUCAAUAGUGAAAGACGGUUUUGCUGUCACUUAUAGAUGGAUCCGCGCCGCAUUAGCUAGUUGGUAAGGUAACGGCUUACCAAGGCAACGAUGCGUAGCCGACCUGAGAGGGUGAUCGGCCCCACUGGAACUUAGACACGGGCCAGACUCCUACGGGAGGCAGCAGUAGGGAAUCUUCCGCAAUGGGCGAAAGCUUGACGGAGCAACGCCGCGUGAGUGAUGAAGGUCUUCGGAUCGUAAAACUCUGUUAUUAGGGAAGAACAAAUGUGUAAGUAACUAUGCACGUCUUGAAGGUACCUAAUCAGAAAGCCACGGCUAACUACGUG